UCCAUCACAAUGUGACAGCCCCGGUGCUCACAGUGCGAUGGCAGCUGUGACCUGUGCUGGGUUUCCGAGCCGAGGAUUCUGCUCCCUCCGUCCCAGUUCCUUCCCAGGGUCUCUGGUCUGCCACCAUGCCGUCACCUCCUCCCUGGCAUCCAGGAAGGAACACUUCCAGUCCAGUGUCUAGGGGACGGCUGAGAGGUGGCCCCAGGAAAUCCAAGGCAAGCCUGAGCUAUCAGUCCUAGCAGCUUUUGUCUAGAAGCAAUCUGCUGACAUUCAUAAUUUUAGGUGAGGGAAUCCCACUUUUGGUCCCUGAUUCCUGUCCAUGGAGGAUGGCUCUUUUCUGGAGAAAUGAAAGCUUUCAAACUCA